rnacentral:rRNA from 1 species
CAGCCGCCGCGGGAAAACGGAGGGUGCAAGCGUUAAUCGGAAUUACUGGGCGUAAAGCGCACGCAGGCGGUCUGACAAGUCAGAUGUGAAAUCCCCGGGCUUAACCUGGGAACUGCAUUUGAAACUGUCAGGCUGGAGUCUUGUAGAGGGGGGUGGAAUUCCAGGUGUAGCGGUGAAAUGCGUAGAGAUCUGGAGGAAUACCGGUGGCGAAGGCGGCCCCCUGGACAAAGACUGACGCUGAGGCACGAAAGCGUGGGGAGCAAACAGGAUUAGAGACCCGAGUAGUCCCUGUCUCUUAUAC